CCACAUUCCUCAAACUUCCAGCUGUCAAUACUUUCUAUCACCCCUGCGGGCCGCUUCACCCCUUUAGAGGAGACGAGGCAGCUGGAGAAAGCCAUUUCAUUAAAAUUUAAAAAAAAACAACAAAAAAACAAAAAACAAAACAGAAUAAAACCCACAAGAAACCAAAAAACAGGCAUCCAGGCUCCAGCUUGAAGAAUUAGACAGUCCAACAAUCGCUGGGUCAAUUCACAUUAAGGCGAACAAAGAGCAGACGGCGAGAAGAUGAGUUAAAUGGCUCGGUGGCUGCUGCCUGUCCCUAAUUCUCUGUUGACUUUGGCCAGUGCCUUGUCAGAGGGGGCUGCAGCAUUUGACCCCCGUUUCCAGGCGCGGGCAGGAGCUGGGGACACAUGCGGCAGCGCUAAAUAGGCGGCUCCAUCCCCGCAUGCCCCGGCCCUGCCAUGGGUGACUGCUCUCCCAAGUCAGCCUAUCAGGAAUUUAUUGCCUCUUCCCCAUCGCCCGGCAAAGAAACUGUCUCACAGAUGUUGGCAUUGUAACUCAUUCAGUGUCACCGUGGGGUUCUCCUCCAUUGUGUCCCCGCACAAAGGGGCGGCAUUCAGGGCAGGGCACGGCGAAGGUAGGCCGCGGCCGGGCUGUGCCGAGGGCUCUUUGUUGGAGCUCCCCAGCCCAGGGUAUCGCCUGCCCUCGCUCUCCCCUGCGCUGGAGGCAAGGCCCGCAGAAGAGCUGGCAGGAAGGAAGGAUUUUCUGCCUUUUGUGGGCUCUUUCUGUGCUAUUUUUGUUCUCCAGGACAGCUUUUGUUGCCCAAGGUUCAAGGCCUCAGAGUGUAAGCUCCGGAGGGUAGGGAGGCUCUGCUGUUCAGACAUCUAAGCCACCACGCCCACCCGUGGGGAGGAGGGAUUUUUGGUUUUUAAUAUAUAUAUAUAUAAAAAUUAAUCUCCCAUCCAUCAGCUCAACAGCAAAAAUGGUGCCAAAUGAAGUCUUUCCACUCAUGCAGUUUUUGUGGUCUAAAAUUCACCACGUGUUUAACCACGACUCCUCAACCAGUCCCUGCAGCACCCAGGUUCCCAGGUGGUCCCCCAUCCCAGCACCAGCCAAGCCUGAAACUGUUUAGUUUCUAAGCUCAGGGCAGUCAGGCCAGAGUGGAUACAGGCCAAAUAUAAUAUAGACACACACAGGCCUAUAUUAUAGAAAAUACAUACACACACACAUAUAUUUUAUGUAUAUGCGUA
rnacentral:lncRNA from 1 species